CUAACACGUGGGGAUAACUAAUCGCAUUUCCGUGGUCACGUAGAUACUACCGUCCACUAUUUAGGCCUAAGCUUGUUGAGGCUUUGAAGGGAACUCCUUGUAAGCAGGUUGCUGCGGGGCUGCACUUCACUGUGUUUCUAUCAAGGGAAGGGCGUGUGUUUACAUGUGGAUCAAACACACGGACAGCUUGGCCAUGACAAUACUUUGGACAGUCCAGUACCCAAAGCGGUUGAGUUUUUUCAAAACAUUGGCCCUGUGGUGCAAAUUGCAACGGGACCGAACUAUCUUCUAGCUGUGACGUAGGAUGGCUCGGUUUACUCCUUUGGCUCUGGUUCUAGCUUUUGUCUUGGUCAUGGAUAGCAGCAGGACGAGCACCAGCGCGUAUGAUUCAGAGUUUUAAAAGAAAAGAUGUUCAUAUACUCGUCUAAAACAUCAUUUGUUGUUAAAGUUAACAUAUAUUAAUUAUUAUUUGUCACAUUAUUGAAACUAUUUAUAUAUUACUUUAAAAUAUUAUUUUUAUAAUUU